rfam:Photobacterium jeanii strain R-40508 scaffold4, whole genome shotgun sequence.
UAGCAGAUUGGGGGCUGAUAUCCCAAGGGCGGUAGCGUG